rnacentral:rRNA from 1 species
UACAGAGGUCUCGAGCGUUGUUCGGAUUCAUUGGGCGUAAAGGGCGCGUAGGCGGCUGCCAAAGUCGGGUGUGAAAGCCUUGAGCUCAACUCAAGAAAUGCACUCGAUACUUGGUGGCUAGAGGACCGGAGAGGAUAGUGGAAUUCCCAGUGUAGUGGUGAAAUACGUAGAGAUUGGGAAGAACACCAGUGGCGAAGGCGGCUAUCUGGACGGUUUCUGACGCUAAGACGCGAAAGCGUGGGGAGCAAACAGG